UACGUAGGGUGCGAGCGUUGUCCGGAAUUAUUGGGCGUAAAGGGCUCGUAGGCGGUUUGUCGCGUCGGGAGUGAAAUCCACUGGCUUAACUGGUGGCUUGCUUUCGAUACGGGCAGACUGGAGGUAUGCAGGGGAGAACGGAAUUCCUGGUGUAGCGGUGAAAUGCGCAGAUAUCAGGAGGAACACCAAUGGCGAAGGCAGCUCACUGGGACGUUACUGACGCUGAGACGCGAAAGCGUGGGGGAGCAAACAGG
rnacentral:rRNA from 1 species